GCUAAUACCGCAUGAAGCCCGGGUAUGGCAUCAUACUCAGGUGAAAGGAGUAACAUCCGGCAAAAGAUGAGCUCGCGUCCGAUUAGCUAGUUGGUGGGGUAAGAGCCUACCAAGGCGACGAUCGGUAGCCGAACUGAGAGGUUGAUCGGCCACAUUGGGACUGAGACACGGCCCAGACUCCUACGGGAGGCAGCAGUGGGGAAUAUUGCGCAAUGGACGAAAGUCUGACGCAGCAACGCCGCGUGAAGGAUGAAGGUUUUCGGAUUGUAAACUUCUUUGAUUGGGGACGAACAAAUGACGGUACCCAAAGAACUAGCCACGGCUAACUACGUGCCAGCAGCCGCGGUAAUACGUAGGUGGCGAGCGUUGUCCGGAAUUACUGGGUGUAAAGGGCGUGUAGGCGGUUUUAUAAGUCAGACGUGAAAUACCGUGGCUCAACCACGGAGCUGCAUCUGAAACUAUAUUACUUGAGUGCUGGAGAGGAAAGCGGAAUUCCUAGUGUAGCGGUGAAAUGCGUAGAUAU
rnacentral:rRNA from 1 species